rnacentral:tRNA from 1 species
GCUGGCGUAGCUCAAUUGGCAGAGCAGCGGUUUUGUAAACCGCCGGUUGGGGGUUCGAUUCCUCUCGCCAGCU